rnacentral:rRNA from 1 species
ACGGGAGGCAGCAGUGGGGAAUAUUGGGCAAUGGGCGAAAGCCUGACCCAGCAACGCCGCGUGAAGGAAGAAGGUCUUCGGAUUGUAAACUUCUUUUAUGAGGGACGAAGGACGUGACGGUACCUCAUGAAUAAGCCACGGCUAACUACGUGCCAGCAGCCGCGGUAAUACGUAGGUGGCGAGCGUUAUCCGGAUUUACUGGGUGUGAAGGGCGCGUAGGCGGGGAUGCAAGUCAGGUGUGAAAACUAUGGGCUUAACCCAUAAACUGCAUUUGAAACUGUAUCUCUUGAGUGCUGGAGAGGUAGAUGGAAUUCCUUGUGUAGCGGUGAAAUGCGUAGAUAUAAGGAAGAACACCAGUGGCGAAGGCGAUCUACUGGACAGUAACUGACGCUGAGGCGCGAAAGCGUGGGGAGCAAACAGGAUUAGAUACCCUGGUA